rnacentral:rRNA from 1 species
CACACGACUCUCGGCAACGGAUAUCUCGGCUCUCGCAUCGAUGAAGAACGUAGCGAAAUGCGAUACCUGGUGUGAAUUGCAGAAUCCCGCGAACCAUCGAGUCUUUGUACGCAAGUUGCGCCCGAGGCCACUCGGCCGAGGGCACGCCUGCCUGGGCGUCACGC